rnacentral:rRNA from 1 species
ACCGUGAGGGAAAGGCGAAAAGAACCCCGGCGAGGGGAGUGAAAAAGAACCUGAAACCGUGUACGUACAAGCAGUGGGAGCACGCUUAGGCGUGUGACUGCGUACCUUUUGUAUAAUGGGUCAGCGACUUAUAUUCUGUAGCAAGGUUAACCGAAUAGGGGAGCCGAAGGGAAACCGAGUCUUAACUGGGCGUUAAGUUGCAGGGUAUAGACCCGAAACCCGGUGAUCUAGCCAUGGGCAGGUUGAAGGUUGGGUAACACUAACUGGAGGACCGAACCGACUAAUGUUGAAAAAUUAGCGGAUGACUUGUGGCUGGGGGUGAAAGGCCAAUCAAACCGGGAGAUAGCUGGUUCUCCCCGAAAGCUAUUUAGGUAGCGCCUCGUGAAUUCAUCUCCGGGGGUAGAGCACUGUUUCGGCAAGGGGGUCAUCCCGACUUACCAACCCGAUGCAAACUGCGAAUACCGGAGAAUGUUAUCACGGGAGACACACGGCGGGUGCUAACGUCCGUCGUGAAGAGGGAAACAACCCAGACCGCCAGCUAAGGUCCCAAAGUCAUGGUUAAGUGGGAAACGAUGUGGGAAGGCCCAGACAGCCAGGAUGUUGGCUUAGAAGCAGCCAUCAUUUAAAGAAAGCGUAAUAGCUCACUGGUCGAGUCGGCCUGCGCGGAAGAUGUAACGGGGCUAAACCAUGCACCGAAGCUGCGGCAGCGACGCUGAUGCGUUGUUGGGUAGGGGAGCGUUCUGUAAGCCUGUGAAGGUGUGCUGUGAGGCAUGCUGGAGGUAUCAGAAGUGCGAAUGCUGACAUAAGUAACGAUAAAGCGGGUGAAAAGCCCGCUCGCCGGAAGACCAAGGGUUCCUGUCCAACGUUAAUCGGGGCAGGGUGAGUCGACCCCUAAGGCGAGGCCGAAAGGCGUAGUCGAUGGGAAACAGGUUAAUAUUCCUGUACUUGGUGUUACUGCGAAGGGGGGACGGAGAAGGCUAUGUUGGCCGGGCGACGGUUGUCCCGGUUUAAGCGUGUAGGCUGGUUUUCCAGGCAAAUCCGGAAAAUCAAGGCUGAGGCGUGAUGACGAGGCACUACGGUGCUGAAGCAACAAAUGCCCUGCUUCCAGGAAAAGCCUCUAAGCAUCAGGUAACAUCAAAUCGUACCCCAAACCGACACAGGUGGUCAGGUAGAGAAUACCAAGGCGCUUGAGAGAACUCGGGUGAAGGAACUAGGCAAAAUGGUGCCGUAACUUCGGGAGAAGGCACGCUGAUAUGUAGGUGAAGCGACUUGCUCGUGGAGCUGAA